UUAUAUUUUUGUUUAUGUAAAUGAAAAAUGUAAAGUUGUGUGUAGUAGUGAGACAAAAGCCUUUCAUACAUUUAUUUAAGGUUGUCUGUUGUCUGUUUGAAGGUGUGUCUGCAAAGCUCUGAAACGUUUUGUCUUUUUUUAUCUCUUCUGCUCUGGAUAAGGUGGACUUCUCUCCUCUGACCUGUUACCAAGACAGCUGGGUGUGUAGGAAACUGGAACUAAGUCACUGAAGAAGUAAACCGAUGAAAACCGAUUUGGAUUGUCUGAGAGAUCUGUAGGACACAAGUAAGAGGAGAAGAAUGCUGCUCAGCUGGGUCGGCGUCGGCCACACUACUUAUUCAAGAAGCCCUUGGAUAUCAUCGGCAUGUAUGAAGCACAGUCAUUCCGGUAGUCCGUUCCUCGAUGGACGUGAUGACCUGGCACCAAAACCGCUUAAUGUGUAUGGAGCUGUGUCUGCAUCGAGGGAAGAACGCGGCAC